UCAGUCUUCACCCCUUAAUUCAGACUCCCAAAUGAAAGUGGAGAGGCUAGAUGUGUCGCCCACAUUCGAUUUGUCCUCCCACAACAAUUUUGACUUUAGCUCAGAACAUGGCAUGUCCACGUCUGCAUGGUUCGACUAUUUCAAAGCCAACGGGGAGAGAUCCCAAAUAACAUCACCUGAAAUAUUUCCCUCAAUUUUGUUUAGUUCGAUAAGUAAGAAUGGACCAGAUGAGGCCUCACCUUAUGAAACCAAAUUCAGACAUCAAUCAGAGACAAUAGACAUUUCUAACUUCAUAGAGCCUGGCAAUGUCCUUUCUUCUCACUCUACAGGAGAUGUUCAUCAUGAUGGAUUUGUUAUUUCUGGUGCAUAUAGUCGAACAAGUACAACCUACAAAAACGCUGAAGCCACAACUACCACAUGGUUUCUCAACACAACUACUUCUCUAAAUGUCUCAGAAGUCUCAAAGUCAUUUCACAAAAACAGCACACAUGAAUCCAUUGAUUCAUAUAGUAACUUUGCAUACAUGACCACUGAGGAGACUGUGAGCCAUUCAAACACUAUUCAAGACUAUAAAUUGUUUAGAACUACAGAUAGACACACAUUUGAAUCUUUGUCAGAGAAUGUGCUGCACACUCAUCAUCCUUUGCAAAUGACUGUGACUGGUGCAGAUCUGUCAUCUCAGACCCCACCAGACUCUGCUUUUCUUAAAUUUUCCACCUUUACAAGCAGCACGCCAUCAGAACUUGUCUCUGUUCCAGUCAUCCAACCCUCCAAAUCAAUGUACAUCUCAAGCAGCCACAGUGAAGACCUGCUGGACAAUAAACAUGCCCACUCCACAACAACAAAGCGCCCAUUUUGGGCCAAGAAUGAAUCAGCAAACCCCUCCAGUCAUAGCCACAAUAUGCUCGUUGUUCAGCCCGCCACCACAGCUAGCGAGACACAUCCGUCUCUAAGUAUUGACGAGCAGUCUUUUGUCCCCACAAAUGGCACAGUCAACACCCCAACCAAAGGAGUCAGCGCAGGUUUUGGCUCUGUGCAUACUGGUGCCACCAAUGGGACCAUUACAGACUCUCAUGAACUGGCCCCAUGUCCAUG
ensembl:lncRNA